UACGAAGGGGGCUAGCGUUGUUCGGAAUUACUGGGCGUAAAGGGCGCGUAGGCGGCCUCGUCCGUCCGGCGUGAAAUGCCUGGGCUCAACCUAGGAAUUGCGCUCGAUACAGCGAGGCUAGAGUGUGGGAGAGGUUGGUGGAAUUCCCAGUGUAGAGGUGAAAUUCGUAGAUAUUGGGAAGAACACCGGUGGCGAAGGCGGCCAACUGGACCACAACUGACGCUGAGGCGCGAAAGCGUGGGGAG
rnacentral:rRNA from 1 species